UAGCUACAGGCUUAACACAUGCAAGUCGAGGGGUAGCAGGGUAGCAAUACCGCUGACGACCGGCGCACGGGUGAGUAACACGUAUCCAACCUUCCCAUAACUCGGGGAUAGCCUUUCGAAAGAAAGAUUAAUACCUGAUAGUACUUAAGAAAGGCAUCUUUUUUAAGUUAAAGAUUUAUUGGUUAUGGAUGGGGAUGCGUUCCAUUAGAUAGUUGGUGAGGUAACGGCUCACCAAGUCUUCGAUGGAUAGGGGUUCUGAGAGGAAGGUCCCCCGCAUUGGUACUGAGACACGGACCAAACUCCUACGGGAGGCAGCAGUGAGGAAUAUUGGUCAAUGGGCGAGAGCCUGAACCAGCCAAGUAGCGUGAAGGAUGACGG
rnacentral:rRNA from 1 species